UACGGGGGGGGCAAGCGUUGUUCGGAAUUACUGGGCGUAAAGGGCUCGUAGGCGGCCAACUAAGUCGGAUGUGAAAUCCCCAAGCUUAACUUGGGAACUGCAUCCGAUACUGGAUGGCUUGAAUCCGGGAGAGGGAUGCAGAAUUCCAGGUGUAGCGGUGAAAUGCGUAGAUAUCUGGAGGAAUACCGGUGGCGAAGGCGGCAUCCUGGACCGGCCCUGACGCUGAGGCGCGAAAGCUAGGGGAGCAAACAGG
rnacentral:rRNA from 1 species